UGACUUUUCAUGAAUGCAAACAUUGGACCAGACUUGCCUGCUCAUCCGCCUUGCUCUUCCAGUGUGUUGCAUGCAAACUUCAACACUGCACACUUCAGGUCUCCUGCUGGUCUUCUCCCCUGGUUCAUGAGGUAAACUCACCAUACUGGAGCUCUUCACUCUAGAGGGCAUCAAGGACUGCAGAUUAAAAUGAAUUAAGUCUGAUCUUCUUGGAUACCAGCUUAAUGCAUGAAGAAAAACACAACGCAUUUGUGGAGUCUGAUCAGACCCAGACCUACAGGCCAGAGAGAAAGGAAAUUAAACUCUGGUGAUUUCUGGCAGUGAAGAUCCUCAUGCAAAAACAUCAGGAGUCCAGCUCAAAUCUAAUCAG